rnacentral:rRNA from 1 species
ACAGAGCAGUUCACGUGGAGGUCCAGGGCGCCACUGCGAUGCCGUUUCUUUGCAUGGCUCGUCCUACGUAAUAGGUGCUGGACCUCAGACCGAUUAGCACGGCAUGGGCUGGACCAUCAGGAAGCUUGCCCGUUCUGUGACCAAGCGGAGGAAACCAUAGACCACAUCGUCGCCCAAUGCGUCUUCGCAAGAGCGAUUUGGACAAGGAUAUGCAUGGCGAUGAACAAGCAAGAGUGGAUACCAACCGGAGACACAAGGCUAACCGAGUGGUGCUUGAGUAAGGGUGGAAACAAAGGAGAGGGAAAGGACAUCCGCGCCCUCAUCCUCCUCGUCAUGUGGAAGCUGUGGAAACACCGCAACUCGAUUGUGUUUGAUGGUGCAACACCAUCGGUGGGAGGAGUACUACGGCGUAUUGUAGAGGAGGGCCGAGCGUGGAAGACAGCCGGCAUC